CCGAGAGGGACCCAACUUUCUUCCCGAAGAGGUCCCAUGAGGGACCCAAGAGUUCUUGCAGGCUGGGUUGCUCUCCAAUGCCAAAAAAAAGUGAUCAGCAUUUAGUGAAUCAUAAUUACCAGCAGAAGCAAAACUGAGUAGGACAGAUCUUUUAUGAAUAGAUGCGUCACUCUAUUCCAUUAACGGUGAAGCAAUGUCGCAGUAAGGUAGAAAACAUUCCAGUCCAGCUCAAACAAUAAGACUGUGGAAGUCCAGUCGUAGAGAAAAAUUUUCUAAGCAUUUUCAUGUGGUGACAGUAUGGUGGAAGUCACAAGAGGGUGGGGUGGGGUAGGUAGAAAGAAAACUCAUACUUAUUUGUGUGAGACAAAUAAGAAAUGGGGGAAAUUUGACUUAUUGUUAAGUAAUAAUUUGAAAAAAUAUGAAAAUCACACCAUUUUUUGUUAGUCUUGUAAUUAUUUCAGCUGACAGUCUCUACCUGAUUAGCUUUCUAAAAUAAAGGUAACAUGACCCAGUUCAAUCCAAUUUCUUGAUUUAAAAUAGGGGUGAGGAACUUUUUUCUCCAAGGGGCAUUUGUGUUAUGUAAUUGUGGCCUCCGUGACAGUCAUAUGUGCGCCAACAAUGAACAACUUUAUGUUAUUGGGGCCAACACGAAUUUGUAUUACUGGACUGCUGGCAGACGAAUUUUUCGUUUAACUACUAAAACGAGGCUGAUAUGUACAAAACUUCCGGUUUAGUUACAUACAUUAUUAAGCCUCGCCGAGACUAACAGCGCAGAACUUCGCAAGAGGCUAAGCGAUGGUCUCGGCAGACAUACAGCUAGCAGUCCACCUGUACACGUCCGUGAUCCCACUGAUUCUACAUAGAAAUCACAGCUGCAGAUGGUAGUAUGAGCUGUAGCGACUGCAUCUAUGCUGACGGUGUUCACCUUGAAAACAGUGAAUUCUUUGUUUGAGACCUUAAUUAUUCUUCUUCUGUGUGUUUAUAUUGUUAAGCGCUUUGAGUCUGGCGCGAUAUAUAAAUGUACUGUUUAUUAUUCUUAGUUGGAUUGUCAGUUAGAUUAUUUUUCGUGAACCAUACAAAAUUAUCAACUUAAAAAUUUGCCUUUAUAACAGUGGACAGUCACGAACAGUUUAUAAUCGUAUAUGGCUAUUUUAGUGCUUUUCUUGUGCCGAUGUAGCGAGACAAAUUUUCCAACCAAAAAUAUCGACUCCUCGAGGUCUGCGCAUGCGCUGAAGGUCACAGUUCAUAGCAGUCUUUACAGGUCAUUUCCUGUAAGACUCGUGGCGCGGGACUAUAAAUGAAGACUACGCACGCUGAAUGUUCUCUUUGAUCAUUGCAAAUUACUAGUGAACUGUUCUUUCAGCGUUCUCUUCGUCGAUCACAAAUCGCAAGUGAAUUAUCUGUAACAUUGUCGUCUACAGAUAGUUGUUUCGUGCUUACCUGUGUUUUCUUUUAACUUUUUGUAGCUUAGUUCUGUCUAGUCGAAAUCGAAACGUGAUCUCCAUCUUGAUAAGCAAUUGAAUAUAUAAUUGUUAAAGUUUUGUUGCAUUGUUGUAGCUAAGAAUUCAAGUGUCAUAUUUCUUAGCAUUCCGAGUGCUUUACUGUCAUUUGCCACCUUCCUUGCUGACCAUAUUAACAAAUGUUAACAAGUUCCUCGUACAGCUACAGCUUGUGUAACAGGAUGAAUACAAAACUAGCCACAGCAUUCAGCACUUUACAAAUUUACCAUCCAAGUAAAAACUGGUCUGCAUGAACUCUGAAUUAAUGUAAUACCCUCCUUGACACCCUUGCUUUAUAAGUUUACUGCAGUCACCCCAAAUGUAUGUUUCUAAGACUUAACUUUCUUCCUAUCUUUGCAGGUCCUUUAAAGCGCACAAAAGGAAGGAACAGAAUUGUAUUCACAAUGAUCAUUUCACAAAGUUUGUUGAGCUGUAUCCAAUGCCAUCAAAACUGCCACUCGAAGUGUGUCAAAAAAUAUUGUCAUUUGUAAGAAGAUGGAAGAACCAGACAAAAACAAAGACAUGGCUGUGGUCAUUAUCUCCAGUGGAGAUGAAGAGCCAGAAGGAUCGUGGACAUAAACAUGCAACAGAGUACAACUUGCUAAGGAGGGAAGCAUAGGACAGCUGAUACGAGCAAGGGUGCCAUAUGACCAACUGAAGCCCUAUCUAGAAGAUCUCAUGGUGACUCAUGUGUGGAACUUAUUCCGUUGCAGAUUUCAUGUGCUAUAUCAGCGCCCCCCCCCCCCCAAUGGCUAUAUCAUUGGAAAUGUUAGUGUCACAGAUAGAGGAAUGGUAAGCGAGAUCCAUAAACUUUUGAACUUGUGUCUAUCCCAGUUACCACGGCAACUGCAGAAGGCAGUUUUUCUGUUAUUCAAACAAGUAAAAACAUAUCUGAGAAGUUUCAAUCAAGAAAGACGCGCUUGAAUAGCUGCCUCAUACACAUGAUUUUUAAAUAAAGGGGUGAUCUGCUCAAUCUGGACAAGACCUUAAUGUCCUUUGUUGACUUGCAAGCAUCGAAUGUGAUCGACAUUUAAUUUAUUCUGAAUAUUACCCCAUUUCUUGAGGGUAAACCAUAUUUCAAUGUUUGGUUUUAUUUUUAACGCCGAAAGCAUAUUAUGAAACACAGUGAAGGACCAGAUCCACCUUAACAUCUAACCAACAAUUUUUGCCUUUCACCCAGACCCCGCACAUGUAGCUGACGCUUACUCCUGCCUUCAGAACUUAAGCACAAUAAAACCCCAACAGAUAACAUGUAAACUGCAACAUUUAUUAAUACAAGCUACAAGCAAUAGUAAUACAACAUAAACUGGAAAGCAAAGUGGAAAACUCUUCAUGCAUUUUUUUUUUAUAAAUCACAUGCCAUAUAAAGGGUUAGAUGUACUUGAUUACUAGUCCGUGAAAGGUGUCAAAAGAAUUAAGAGAAGGAAAUUUUCAGAGAAACUUUCCUGCAGGCAGUGUUUCUCACACCAUGAUGAAAUUCAUGUGUGUGAUGGUGCAACAAAAUCAAAUAUGAUUCUGUUGUAUAGAAGAUGGAAGUAAAAAGGAUCCUGCUCUUAAUAAUGCAUAAUUGACAAUCUUACUUUACACCAGGGCAACCAGUACUCAAUGAGAGUGGAAAGAAAAAACAACCCUCAAUUCCUGGUUCAGUAAUGGUACAUUUAGUCCUACCAGAAUACAAUAUUAGGCCUCAAGUCUAGGAUAUGCAAUAUGAAAACCUACAGACACCAAAAAAAAAAAAAAAA
rnacentral:lncRNA from 1 species